rnacentral:rRNA from 1 species
UACGUAGGUGACCAGCGUUGUCCGGAUUUACUGGGCGUAAAGAGCGCGCAGGCGGUCGUUCAAGUCGAGUGUGAAAGCCCCCGGCUCAACCCUGGAAUUGCCUCCAAAACUGCGCUGCUUGAGUUCGGAAGAGGAGAGUGGAAUUCCCAGUGUAGAGGUGAAAUUCGUAGAUAUUGGGAAGAACACCAGUGGCGAAGGCGGCUCUCUGGUCCGAUACUGACGCUGAGGUGCGAAAGCGUGGGGAGCAAACAGG